CAGUCGCCACGGUAAUACGUAGGUGGCAAGCGUUAUCCGGAAUUAUUGGGCGUAAAGCGCGCGUAGGCGGUUUUUUAAGUCUGAUGUGAAAGCCCACGGCUCAACCGUGGAGGGUCAUUGGAAACUGGAAAACUUGAGUGCAGAAGAGGAAAGUGGAAUUCCAUGUGUAGCGGUGAAAUGCGCAGAGAUAUGGAGGAACACCAGUGGCGAAGGCGACUUUCUGGUCUGUAACUGACGCUGAUGUGCGAAAGCGUGGGGAUCAAACAGGAUUAGAUACCCCAGUAGUCCCUGUCUCUUAUAC
rnacentral:rRNA from 1 species